AGGAAAAAAGGGGAAAAUCUGUUGCAGAAUGAUUUGUAGCAAUCUUCGCCAUAGCUGAGAGAGGCAGAAAUGGAAGCCGCGAAUUUUAGGGGAACCCAUAGAUGGAAGAAGAGAAGUUCGGUUCAGUCUCCAAGAUCUGCACUUCUCACUCUUCUCAUCUUCUCCUCUUUCAUCAUCCUCUUCUUCUACUUCAGACGCUUCGUUUCCCCCACUCAACUUCCACUUUCCCGGAAUUCUCCGUCGUUCCUUCUCCAACGAUGCGGCUCCUCCUCCGCAGGGAACUUCAUCUGGUACGCGCCUCACAGUGGCUUCAGCAAUCAGCUCUCCGAGUUCAAGAACGCGCUUCUAAUGGCUUCCAUUUUGAAUCGAACCCUCGUUGUGCCUCCCAUUCUCGAUCACCACGCCGUUGCUCUCGGUAGCUGUCCCAAAUUUAGGGUUUUAAGCCCCCCUGAUUUGAGAUUCGCGGUUUGGAAUCAUAGUAUUGAGCUCUUGCGUGAUUGCAGAUAUGUUUCUAUGGCAGAUAUUAUUGACCUUUCAGCUAUAGUGUCUGCUUCAGCUGUCAGUGUUGUGGAUUUUAGAGUGUUUGUGUCUGAAUGGUGUGGUGUGAAUCUGGAUCAUUUUUGCACUACAAACCAAAAUGCUCAAUCUUUGAUGUUACAAAGGCUAAAUGAAUGUGGGUCUUUGCUGUCUGGGAAAAAUGGUAAUUUAAAUAGUUGUUUAUAUGCUUUAGAGGAGGAUUGCAGGACAACAGUUUGGACAUACCAAAAAGAUGGCGGAGAUGGUGCUUUAGACUCAUUUCAACCUGAUGAGGAACUCAAGAAGAAGAAGAGAAUUGCCUUUGUUAGGAGAAGAAGAGACGUAUAUAAGACCCUUGGCCCGGGCUCUGCUGUUGAAUCUGCCAAAGUUCUUGCAUUUGGAAGCCUUUUCACCUCCCCAUAUAAGGGAUCAGAGUCACACAUUGAUAUCCAUGAAGCUCCUAAUGAUAAAAGGAUAGCUUCCUUCAUCAAGAGGAUUGAGUUCCUUCCCUUUGUACCAGAAAUUCUUGAUGCUGGAAAGAAUUUCGUUCUUAAAACAAUUAAGGCUCCUUUUCUUUGUGCACAGCUUAGACUAUUGGACGGGCAGUUUAAGAACCACUGGAAAGCUACUUUUCAAGAAUUGAAGCAUAAGUUAGAAUCUUUGAAACAAACUGGACCUAACCCUAUUCAUAUGUUUCUAAUGACUGACCUUCCCAUGUCUAAUUGGUCUGGGAGCUACUUGGGUGAUAUUACAAAAGAUUCAGGUAUCAAACUGUUUGUCCUUAAAGAAGAUGAUGAGCUGGUUAGAGAAACUGCUAGGAAUGUUGUGAAGGCAGGAAAUGGGAUGAAGGUUGGGUCUGAUUCAAAGUAUUCCGUCAAAAUUCAGGAAAAUCAGCAUGCUCAAGCAUUGCCUGAUGUGCUGCUAUACAUAGAGGAAACUGUAUGUAGCUGUGCUUCUCUUGGUUUUGUGGGAACUAGUGGUUCAACUAUUGCGGAGAGUAUAGAGUUGAUGAGGAAGUUUAAUAUAUGUAAUAGCUGAAAUCUUUUUCAGGAUGCAUGAUUUUGCUGCUUUACAGCUACUACUAUUCAAGAAAUGAAGGAUCUUCUGGUAGGGUAAGGAAUAUAUACAAACCUGUUAGAUAAAUAUUGCCUUAUUUGGCUGAAAGUAGUCUAAAGUUGUUUGAAGAGCGCCGUGGAAUUAAGCAGGAGAAUGUGAUUUGAUAUGGCCAAUAUCCCCACACUACAUUUGGCAUCUCAUUACGGAUGUUGAGGGCUGUUGUUCUUCAUGGUGCUAUACCUCUGGAAUACGAGUUCUAUAUCCUGUCAAGAUGAUGCUUUGGUUUGAUAUUUUCAAUAAUAUAGACAAAAAUACAAGAAGUCGACAGCCCAGUUUUAAUUAUCCAUCGUAAUGACAAUGUAGUAUCCAGUCAUAUGAUCUCAGUUCUUGAGUCGAUUCUUCACUGUCAAGAAGAAGACAUGUGCGGGUUAAUAAUUUGGAUCAAGGUUGCUGAAGAAGAAAGCGAAGGUUGUGAAAACAUCUUGAUUCAUUAGUCAUCUCAGUUGUAUGCCCCUCCAACUGCUAAAUCGAUUGGAAGACAUUAUAAGCAAAGUUUGAGCUUUGUAUGAAUGAUUUAGUGCAUUGGUUCCCAUUAUCCUUCUUGAUCAAGUGUACCAAUAAAUGUAGGUAAUAUGUUGUAUGAUGUGUCCCAAUCCCCAAAAAUCUUUCUAGUUGUCUUUAACUUUGGAACUUUGUAUACCAUAUCUUUUAAUAUGAAACAUCAAAAGAGAAUGUCUCUUGCAAUUG